rnacentral:rRNA from 1 species
GUCGAGAAUCUUCCGCAAUGGGGGCAACCCUGACGGAGCGACGCCGCGUGCGGGAUGACGGCCUUCGGGUCGUAAACCGCUGUCACCCGGGAUGAAGAUCUGACAGUACCGGGAGAGGAAGCCACGGCUAACUACGUGCCAGCAGCCGCGGUAAUACGUAGGUGGCUAGCGUUAUUCGGAUUUACUGGGCGUAAAGGGUUCGUAGGGGGCCGCGUGUGUCUGGUGUGAAAUGCCCGGGCCCAACCUGGGAACUGCACUGGCGACUGCGCGGCUAGAGUGCCGGCGAGGAAAGUAGAAUUCCUGGUGUAGCGGUGGAAUGCGUAGAUAUCAGGAGGAAUACCGAAGGCGAAGGCAGCUUUCUGGACGGCAACUGACCCUGAGGAACGAAAGCUGGGGGAGCAAACAGGAUUAGAUACCCCAGUAGUCC